rnacentral:rRNA from 1 species
AUUGAACGCUGGCGGCAUGCCUUACACAUGCAAGCCGAACGGUAACGCGGGGCAACCUGGCGACGAGUGGCGAACGGGUGAGUAAUGCAUCGGAACGUGCCCAGUAGUGGGGGAUAGCCCGGCGAAAGCCGGAUUAAUACCGCAUACGACCUACGGGUGAAAGGGGGGGAUCGCAAGACCUCUCGCUAUUGGAGCGGCCGAUGUGAGAUUAGCUAGGUGGUGGGGUAAAGGCCUACCAAGGCGACGAUGUGUAGCUGGUCCGAGAGGACGACCAGCCACACUGGGACUGAGACACGGCCCAGACUCCUACGGGAGGCAGCAGUGGGGAAUUUUGGACAAUGGGCGAAAGCCUGACCCAGCCAUGCCGCGUGCGGGGAGAAGGCCUUCGGGUUGUAAACCGCUUUUGUCAGGGAAGAAAUCUUCUGAGUUAAUACCUCGGGAGGAUGACGGUACCUGAAGAAUAAGCACCGGCUAACUACGUGCCAGCCGCCGCGGUAA